rnacentral:rRNA from 1 species
UACAGAGGGGGCAAGCGUUGUUCGGAAUUACUGGGCGUAAAGGGCGCGUAGGCGGCCUUCUAAGUCGAACGUGAAAUCCCUGGGCUCAACCCAGGAACUGCGUCCGAUACUGGAAGGCUUGAAUCCGGGAGAGGGAUGCGGAAUUCCGGGUGUAGCGGUGAAAUGCGUAGAUAUCUGGAGGAACACCGGUGGCGAAGGCGGCAUCCUGGACCGGUAUUGACGCUGAGGCGCGAAAGCCAGGGGAGCAAACGGG